rnacentral:rRNA from 1 species
AAUCUUCGGCAAUGGACGAAAGGUCUGACCGAGCAACGCCGCGUGAGUGAGGAAGGUCUUCGGAUCGUAAAGCUCUGUUGCCAGGGAAGAACGCCUGGGGGAGUAACUGCCUUCAGGUUGACGGUACCUGAGAAGAAAGCCCCGGCUAACUACGUGCCAGCAGCCGCGGUAAUACGUAGGGGGCAAGCGUUGUCCGGAAUUAUUGGGCGUAAAGGGUGCGUAGGCGGCCUUUUAAGUCAGAUGUGAAAGCCCACGGCUUAACCGUGGGACUGCAUUUGAAACUGGAGGGCUUGAGUAUCGGAGAGGGUAGUGGAAUUCCCAGUGUAGCGGUGGAAUGCGUAGAUAUUGGGAGGAACACCAGUGGCGAAGGCGACUACCUGGACGAAAACUGACGCUGAGGCACGAAAGCUAGGGGAGCAAAC